rnacentral:rRNA from 1 species
UACGGAGGGAGCUAGCGUUGUUCGGAAUUACUGGGCGUAAAGCGCACGUAGGCGGCUACUCAAGUCAGAGGUGAAAGCCCAGGGCUCAACCCUGGAACUGCCUUUGAAACUAGGUAGCUAGAAUCUUGGAGAGGUCAGUGGAAUUCCGAGUGUAGAGGUGAAAUUCGUAGAUAUUCGGAAGAACACCAGUGGCGAAGGCGACUGACUGGACAAGUAUUGACGCUGAGGUGCGAAAGCGUGGGGAGAAAACAGG